rnacentral:rRNA from 1 species
UAGCGGAGGAAAAGAAACCAACAGGGAUUGCCCUAGUAACGGCGAGUGAAGCGGCAACAGCUCAAAUUUGAAAUCUGGCGCAAGCCCGAGUUGUAAUUUGUAGAGGAUGUUUCUGGCGACGUGCCUUCCGAGUUCCCUGGAACGGGACGCCAUAGAGGGUGAGAGCCCCGUACGGUUGGAUGCCUAGCCUCUGUGAAACUCCUUCGACGAGUCGAGUAGUUUGGGAAUGCUGCUCUAAAUGGGAGGUAUACGUCUUCUAAAGCUAAAUACCGGCCAGAGACCGAUAGCGCACAAGUAGAGUGAUCGAAAGAUGAAAAGCACUUUGAAAAGAGGGUUAAAAAGUACGUGAAAUUGUUGAAAGGGAAGCGUUCAUGACCAGACUUGGGCAGGUUGAUCAUCCGUGGUUCUCCGCGGUGCACUCUGCCUGCCCAGGCCAGCAUCAGUUCGCCCCGGGGGAUAAAGGUUUCGGGAAUGUGGCUCCUCCGGGAGUGUUAUAGCCCGUUGCGUAAUACCCUGGGACGGACUGAGGUUCGCGCUCUGCAAGGAUGCUGGCGUAAUGGUCAUCAACGACCCGUCU